AAAAAAAAUAGCGCGGUGGUCCCACCUGACCCCAUGCCGAACUCAGAAGUGAAACGCCGUAGCGCCGAUGGUAGUGUGGGGUCUCCUAGGGAACUGCCAGGCAUCAAAUU
rnacentral:rRNA from 1 species